GGCACUUGAGUAACAGCUCUGCUCCUUCCUCUGGUUACUGCCAGUGCCUCUAAAAACCUUCUCUCUCUCUCUCUUGUCACCUGGUGGGUGAUGGGAGGACUCAAGCCUGUGUUCUUUCUGCUCUUGCAGGGCAGGACAGGAGAUGCUGAAGAGAGGCAUGCCUGGGAGAGGGCUCAGGGUCUGCAGCCAACCCUCAGUCCCCUGAACCCACACUGAACGUGCUGAGUGUGCGCCAGCGCAAAUCAGGUGUAAAGUGCUCCAUGGAGUAAGGAACAAUGGAGUAGAGCUCGGCAUGCCUUUCCUGCCUCCCUGACCUGGUUGCUUCCCGAAGGAAGUGUGGCUGAGUGAGGCACCUGCCCUCAACUGACUGGACAUCAGAUGGACACUGCCGUCUGAGCGCCUAAGCCCUCCGUGGUCCGCACCGUCACCACUCCAGCCCGACCGAGCCAAGGCAAAGUGCACAAAUGAACUUCCUUGGGAGUAAUCCAAGCCUGAAAGUCCUCUGCCCUCCUUCCAGGCAUAAAGGUACCGAAUAUAAACAGGUUUGUUACUUCAAGGGGAAACAGGGGUCUAUGGCAGAGCCUCCCAGCAGCAAAUGCUGAGCAGCAGCAGCCCUUGAUGAGAAGUUUC